GAUCAUGGCUCAGAACGAACGCUGGUAGCGUGGAUUAGGCAUGCAAGUCGAACGGGAUCGGGAGGGUAGCAAUAUUCUCCCGUGAGAGUGGCGGAUUGGGGAGGAACACGUGAGCAACCUGCCCUGGAGAUGGGGAAAACCGUUGGAAACGACGGCUAAUACCGAAUGUUGCGCCGGAGGGCAUCCUCCGAGCGCGGAAGGGGGCCGCAAGGCUCCCGCUCCGGGAUGGGCUCGCGCACCAUCAGCUAGUUGGCGGGGUAACGGCCCACCAAGGCUCACGGUUAGCUGGUCUGAGAGGAUGGCCAGCCCCACUGGGAUUGAGAUACUGCCCAGACUCCUACGGGAGGCUGCAGUCGAGGAUCAUUUGCAAUGGGCGAAAGCCUGACAAUGCGACGCUGCGUGGAGGAUGGAGGCCUUCGGGUUGUAAACUCCUGUCAUGGGGGAACAGGCGAGGAAACCUAACACGUUUCUUAGUUGAGUGUACCCCAAGAGGAAUUGGCGGCUAACUCUGUGCCAGCCGCCGC
rnacentral:rRNA from 1 species